rnacentral:rRNA from 1 species
UAAAUCAGUCAUGAUCUAUCUGAUUCUAAAACCCAUUGGAUAACCGUGGGAAAUCUAGAGCUAAUACAUGUGUUAAUAUCCGCCUGGUGUAGUGCAUCGCAUGGUGUAUCUAUGCUGAGUGGAUGGGCAUUUAUUAGACAAGACUAGCUGCUUUAAAUUCUGUGUGUAACAGCAUAGAGAUUGAAGUAUGGGUGAAUCUAGAUAACUUGUGCUGAUCGUAGUGGCUUUGAGCCGGCGACAUUUCAGUUGAAUCUCUGCCCUAUCAACUUGUUGGUAAGAUAGUUGCUUACCAAGGUUAUAACGGGUAACGGGGAAUCAGGGUUCGAUUCCGGAGAGGGAGCCUGAGAAACGGCUACCACAUCCAAGGAAGGCAGCAGGCGCGCAAAUUACCCCAUCCAGACACUGGGAGGUAGUAUCGGGAAGUACUAAUGGGUAGCCCAAAAAGCUAUCAAAUUGGAAUGGACUGUGAUUUAAGACAGCCGUUGAGUAACAACUGGAGGGCAAGUCUGGUGCCAGCAGCCGCGGUAAUUCCAGCUCCAGUAGCGUACAUUAAAGUUGCUGCGUUUAAAACGCUCGUAGUUGGAUGACGCAGUAUGUAUUGGUGAAUUUCUACAUGUACACAUUAAAAUCCUCAAUGUUGGUUGAUGUCUACGUUUUAUCGUAGUGUCGGUUAGUGUUGUUGGAGUGUAUAAUGUGGAAUAUCAGCCAGUAUGUACUACUUGCGCGUGGGAAUGGUAAUUGACCUUUGGUGAGUUGAUUACUGUGCCUCACGGAAUGUGCCUUGAAUAAAUCAGAGUGCUUAAAGCAGGCUGUUGCCUGAAUGUUAAUAGCAUGGAACGAACAAUUGUGAUAUCGUAUGUGUUGGAUAAUAAAAGCAUGCACUGACAUGGCCUAGUGUUGUGUUUGGUGUGUGKUGUCUAGCAUGUACAGCACCAACCCACAAUAACGGAUGUUGGUACCGUAUUGGGGUGAUGAUUAAAAGGAGCGGUUGGGGGCAUUGGUAUUUUGCCGCGAGAGGUGAAAUUCUUGGACCGGCAAAGGACUAACAAAUGCGAAGGCAUUUGCCUAGACCGUUUCCAUUAAUCAAGAACGAUAGAGGGAGGUUCGAAGACGAUCAGAUACCGUCCUAGUUCCCUCUGUAAACUAUGCCGACUCGGGAUCAGUUUUGAGUUAUUUCAAACGCUCCAAGUUGGUCCCCCUGGGAAACCUCAAGUUUUUCGGUUACGGGGGGAGUAUGGUCGCAAGGCUGAAACUUAAAGGAAUUGACGGAAGGGCACCACCAGGGGUGGAGCCUGCGGCUUAAUUUGACUCAACACGGGACAGCUUACCCAGAUCGGACAUUAAAAUGAUAGACAGAUUAGAGAUCUUUCUUGAUAUAGUGAGUGGUGGUGCAUGGCCGUUCUUAGUUCGUGGAGUGAUUUGUCUGGUCGAUUCCGAUAACGGACGAGAUCACAUUCUUCAGUUGAGGAGCAGAAGUAGUGUUGUGUGUAAUGUGUUGGCAUGUAAAAGUGCUGCAUGUCAUGAUACAGCAUGCAGGCAGUUCAAGUGGUGCAUAACCGUAACGUGUUUGUCAAAGUGAUGAGGUGUGGCUGUAUGGGGUCGCAAGACUUUGUGCAGUUGUGUUUGGUCAUGYAGAUGAGCAUGUUGCAUGUGUAAAGCUUGUAUUCUCCCUUCUGCCAGACAUUGUAUGGCUUUACGGCUGUAUAGUGUGUCCUGAAGAGAUCUACUGGGUAUAUUCCAAGCCAGAGGAAGUGUGGCAAUAACAGG